GCACAAUUGAAUAUAGGUGUCCCGGAUUGGGCGCCCAUCCCUGGCAUGUUUUGGGGGCUCCCUGACCCCCAUGAUGGGCCGACCCCCUCACAACAGCAAGACCCUGCCCCCAGCUCACCUGGUAGGAGGGGCCGCCGUGCGCCGAGCCGCACUCCUUCGGGUGCCGGCACCUGGCCCCUGCCCACAGGUGCGCGUUAUCGUUGGCGCAGCCCUCGGAGCAGGCAGGGCGGCCGCGGGGACGCAGAGCUGCACCCGGCGCGGGUCCAAGCGUUGCUGGUAGCUGCUGUGCUUAGGACACGUGGCGGCUAUGCAGGGAGGAGAAAAAGCGCGGGUGGACCUGGGUCCCAUUAACCUGGACAGACACCUCCAAGAUGAGCAUGAGGGGGCUGCUGGAUCUGUUCUCCUUUCACAGCUGUAUCCUGAAGAAUGGCAGUGAGCCGGAAGAGCCACAGGAUUCGGCAAAGACGGACACACAGGAGAGGCUGCUUGGAAAUGAAGCUAACACAGCCUAAGGCAGAUUUGAGAGAGCAGCUGGAUCCAGCUGUACCUGAAGCCAAUUUGCUCCAGGAAAAUUCCAGUUAAGUGAACCAAUUAAAAU
rnacentral:lncRNA from 1 species